GUAGCUCACACGGGGCUUGAAGAGCCUCCCUGAUUAUCUGGUUGUAAUUAUAUAGAGGUGACCUGGUUUCAGCACCGCGAGCCGUCAACAGCUCCAGUGCGCAGCGGAGAUUUGGCCCCUUCCCGACCGGUGCGUCUCAUUCAGAGCCGGUGCUCCAGGGCACAGCCUCCACGCCAGUUUCAGCACCAGCGGCCGGCCGGUGCACAGCGGAGCUGUCCACACGUUCAGCCCUCAGCUUCUGGAGGAGGGAACCAGACCACAGGCAGCAAGUAGCCACGGAUAUAUCUUCCUUCUCGGACACUCUGAGGCAUCUUAUUUCAGAAUGGCGUCAAAAUACGUUGGCCUUUUCGUCCUUUUUCAGCUUCUAGCCCUGAAUGUAAUGAUCCAGAUAUCCGCCUUCCCCACACCGACAGCCUCCACGGAUGUUGCAGAUAAAACUGUGUACAAUAGACAGUUGACAGAAGAAAGACCGCUACAAGAGCAGAUUGCUGAGGCGGACAGCGUGAAGGCUGCAGUACAGUCAGCUGAGGGCAAGCGCUCCACUGCCUCCAAGGGCGCGGAAUCAGAGCAGGACCUUGAUGACUUCACUGUGCUGAAGUCACUGGCUGAUGGCCAGAAGUCAAAGGAGACCACUGAGCUGCCACUCAAGAAAGAGGGCCAGUAUGUUCCAGAUGAAUCAGACUCGACCAAGAGCCGGCGUCUAACUGAGGAGUACGACUCCACCAAGAACGGGAUGGACUAUGGCAAGUACCAGGAUGACACAGAAAGUUUCCGUCAGGUCGACGGGACUUCACUGACAGCAGAAGACAUCGUCCAGAAGAUCGCAAACAAGAUCUACGAGGAGGAUGACAGAGGGGUGUUCGACAGGAUUGUCUCCAAACUGCUGAAACUGGGGCUGAUCACAGACAGUCAGGCAGACACUCUGGAGUACCAGGUGGCCGAGGCUCUCCAGGAUCUCAUCACCAAAAACGCCAAGAACAAUGAGAUUGACGACGUUGAGAGUAACGACGAAGAAACCAGGGGAGAGCAGGAAGACCAGGGCUCAGACACAAACAAGGACACAUGGGAGCCACCCAGUCGUCGCUACAACAAAGAUGAGGACGACGAUGAAGAAAAUGAUGAUGAGAUUGAGGAUGAGGUGGAUAGGGAUGCAGAGGAAGAAGGAGGUGACAAAGCCACCAAGACUUGGGACAAAGAUGCUGAGGAGGGCAACGAGGUGAGACCCGAAGACGGGCUCCAGGACCUGCAAUACUUCCCCAACUUCUACCGUCUGCUCAGCAGCCUCGACUCGGAUCAAGACACUCAGGAGAGAGAGACAUUGAUCACCAUCAUGAAGACGCUGAUCGACUUUGUGAAGAUGAUGGUGAAGUACGGCACCAUCACGCCUGAGGAGGGAGUGUCUUAUCUGGAGAACCUGGAUGCCAUGAUAGCCAUGCAGACCAAGAACAAGCUGGGCAAGGCUCUCGGGCCUCCUGACUUCACUGGACCCAACGGAAAAAACUUGGAUGAGGAUGACAACACGAAGGCUGAGGCCGCAAAGAUGCAGAAGGAGUAUGAGAACCUGAAAGACUCAACCAAGGAGGAGCAGCCAUCAAGUGAAACCAAUCAGCCCGGCAAGUCAGAGACCUAUCUGGAGGCCAUCAGGAAGAACAUUGAGUGGUUGAAGAAACACAACAAAGAAGAAGGCAAAGAGGAUUAUGACCUGUCCAAGCUGAAGGACUUCAUGGACCAGCAGGUUGACUCCUACAUUGAGAAGGGCAUCAUUGCCAAGGAUGAGGGAGACACCAUCAAGAGGAUCUACAGCAGCCUGUAACCCCAUCACCCAUCCUCCCACCAACCUCUGGCCUAAAACGCAGGACUGAAUCCGACAGUAACAUCUAAAACAAACCCUGACUACAUAGUUAUUUCCCAUGGCAUGGUAAAGUAUGUACUGUGUAUUCAAAAUUACCUGCUCAGGGGAACUUGUUUACCCUCUCAGACAUUCCUAAAAUGUACCAAGAGAAGGAUUUAAUAAUGCUAUUAACAAAACAGUUUAACAAUUCCUUACAGCUUUACCUAACUGAUUAUAUUUGCACGCCAAGAUCACAGAGUAAUAAUUACUAGAAUAUUAUUGAAAGAGAAAUCAAAGUAUUUUAUGUAACCAACUCACACAUUCAAGGAAAUGCUACCAUUUACUCCAACCUGACUCCUGUGGGAAAUGAAUGAAUGAGUAUGAUGCUGUAGCUUUGGCAGUAACUACUGUUUCCAAUACAUUUUUUGCAACAAAAUGCACAUUUAUCAAAUCAUAUUCAUUCUAUGUAACAUGUCUUAGUCUAUGUGUAAGAUCUUUAAGUAUUCUUGCUUUUUAUUUUACCAAAAAUAUAUUGUAUUGUGUAUCGUGUCAGUACCCUCCGUACUCAUGUUAUGUUCUGCUGUAAUUUUUCUGGGGCCCACUAGGGGGACACGGUUGUAUAGUCAAUUCUCUCUGCAUGUCUGAGUUCAACAUUUCCAUCUACAUAUGUAGAGACUCAAGAUAAGUAUUUUUAAAUGUAAAUAUUUGUGAUUUUUUCCUAAAGUUCAAACGCAAUUAAAACAUUGCCUUUUCUUUA